rnacentral:lncRNA from 1 species
GCUUUCAGAUUUUUUAAUUGUCUCAGAUCAGCAUAGUACAUGUUUAUCCAGCUUUGGUUUUUCCCUUUGGAAUUAAAAUUUUGAAGAGUUUCCUGCAAACAUCGAUUUGAAAUGACACUCUGCAGGUGAAGUGGGAAGAACAAUAAAAUAGCAUGUGUUUAAGGUGGCAAGAAAUAGCUGCUCUUUUUGGAUCAUCUAUAGGUGAAGGAAGAAGAAAAUGGACAAGAACAGCACAGAGAACAAAAGCGAGUAGCAGCCUAGUAGGAGUAAAAGAUUAUUCCUCUCUCUGAGAACAUGGCAGCCAUGUUGUCUCAGUGCUUGUUAUGAG